rnacentral:rRNA from 1 species
UCAAGCGUCUUGAAGAGCAUUUGGUGGAUGCCUUGGUACAGAGAGGCGAUGAAGGACGUGACACGCUGCGAUAAGCUGCGGGGAGCCGUGAGUAGGCUUUGAUCCGCAGAUUUCCGAAUGGGGAAACCCAAACCAUUUUGGUUUAUCCCGCAAGGGAGGCGAACCCAGCGAACUGAAAUAUCUAAGUAGCUGGAGGAAAGGACAUCAACCGAGACUCCGUUAGUAGUGACGAGCGAACGCGGACCAGGCCAGUGGCCAAUUUGAAAACAACCAGAAUGACCUGGAAAGGUCAGCCAUAGUGGGUGAUAGCCCCGUAUGGGUAAUGUUUCAUUUUGGUCCUUGAGUAGGGCGGGACACGAGAAAUCCUGCUUGAACAUGGGGGGACCACCCUCCAAGCCUAAGUACUACUCUGUGACCGAUAGUGAACAAGUACCGUGAGGGAAAGGUGAAAAGAACCCCUAUGAGGGGAGUGAAACAGACCUGAAACCGAAUGCUUACAAACAGUAGGAGCAACAUUAAGUUGUGACUGCGUACCUUUUGUAUAAUGGGUCAGCGAGUUAAUUUAUUGAGCAAGCUUAAGCCGAUAGGUGUAGGCGAAGCGAAAGCGAGUAUUAAUAGUGCGAUUUAGUUCGAUGGAUUAGACCCGAAACCGGGUGAUCUAGCUAUGGGCAGGUUGAAGGUGCGGUAACACGCACUGGAGGACCGAACCCACGUCUGUUGAAAAAGACGGGGAUGACCUGUGGCUAGGGGUGAAAGGCCAAUCAAACCCGGAGAUAGCUGGUUCUCCGCGAAAACUAUUUAGGUAGUGCGUUAUAUAUUACUGCCGGGGGUAGAGCACUGGAUGGGCUAGGGGGGCGCGAGCCUUACCAAACCUAACCAAACUCCGAAUACCGGUAAGUACAGUAUAGCAGACAGUCCAUGGGUGCUAAGGUCCUUGGACGAGAGGGAAAGAGCCCAGACCACCAGCUAAGGUCCCUAAGUUAUGGCUAAGUGGGAAAGGAUGUGGGAAGGCCAAGACAGCCAGGAGGUUGGCUUAGAAGCAGCCAUCCUUUAAAGAAAGCGUAACAGCUCACUGGUCUAAAUAAGCCGGCCUGCGCCGAAGAUGUAACGGGGCUAAAGCCAUACACCGAAGCUGUGGAUGCCGUAAGGCAUGGUAGCGGAGCGUUCUGUAAGCCGCUGAAGGUAACACGUGAGUGUUAUUGGAGGUAUCAGAAGUGAGAAUGCUGACAUGAGUAGCGAUAAAGAGUGUGAGAAACACUCUCGCCGUAAGCCCAAGGGUUCCUGCGCAAGGCUAAUCCGCGCAGGGUGAGUCGGCCCCUAAGACGAGGGCGAAAGCCGUAGUCGAUGGGAAUCAGGUUAAUAUUCCUGAACCUGUUGGUAGUGACGGAUGAUGUAAGUUGUACAUGCUUAUCGGAUUGUGUGUGCAGCGAAGUUGUCCCAGGAAAUAGCUCCAUCAUUAAGACCGUACCCGAAACCGACACAGGUGGGCAGGUAGAGAAUACCAAGGCGCUUGGGAGAAUGAUGUUGAAGGAACUCGGCAAAUUGCCCCCGUAACUUCGGGAGAAGGGGGACCUCCAUUAAGGCAACUUUUUGGAGGUGGCACAGACCAGGGGGUGGCGACUGUUUAUUAAAAACACAGGGCUCUGCGAAGUAGUUAAUACGACGUAUAGGGUCUGACGCCUGCCCGGUGCCGGAAGGUUAAGAGGAGGUGUGAGAGCUCCGAAUUGAAGCCCCGGUAAACGGCGGCCGUAACUAUAACGGUCCUAAGGUAGCGAAAUUCCUUGUCGGGUAAGUUCCGACCUGCACGAAUGGCGUAACGA